CCGCAUGUUUCUUCUCCCUCAAUCUCACAGCGCCAUUUUCACUCUUCACUCUCUUUAUCCUCUUCUUCAAACCCUUACCGAAGGGCAACAAACAUCUGGUCGAAACCCUCACAACUGAGAGCUUUCAAGGCGCUUCAAUCUCAACAAACAACACCGCCUGGGCUCCGAUAAAGUUUUUAUUGAAGAUUCAGGAAGAACAUUCGGGUUCUGUUCUUUUAAUCGAAGGAGAUGAACCAACUUACACUAUUUUUUUCUUCAAAAUAAUGCAAGCAUACACAAAGAUAAAGCUGGAAAAUAAAGAGAAAACCCGAAUAAUAAUACCUCGAGGUAUGUCUAUUGUUUUCUCGACUUUUGAAUACAAUGUUGAUAUUCCUGUUACAAAGAUUUUUCUGUUUUCCUUUCUGAGUAUCAAGGAAAACCUCUGUUGUUGAUGAAAAGUUCUUGCUCCCUUUUUUUUCUGGCCGAGCCCCCCAUGCCUUGCUCGAAUGAUUCAUUUUUCUAUCUUUUUCCACCGAAUCAUCUUUGUCCUCUUGUUGAUUUAGGUAUUGACUUUGGCUCAAUUUUCUGCUAAUUUUUGCUUUUGUUUGCUGUUGGGUGUGCUACUUCACGUGGAAUGGUCGAGUAUGCUGAACCGGGUUGGGUCAAUGUGUUGGGUCAGACAGGGUCUUGAACUGCUGUUGGGCUCUGGAUUGGGUCCAUUGUUUUGUAAUUUUUUUUGAGCUUAUAAGAUGGACUCUAGACAAUUACUUUAAAUUUUGGAUCGAAUUUGGGCUUUAAUUUCCAAAAUAAAAUAAAUGUGGUUUCAA